rnacentral:rRNA from 1 species
CAGCCGCCACGGUAAUACGAAGGGUGCAAGCGUUAAUCGGAAUUACUGGGCGUAAAGCGCGCGUAGGUGGUUUGGUAAGAUGGAUGUGAAAUCCCCGGGCUCAACCUGGGAACUGCAUCCAUAACUGCCUGACUAGAGUACGGUAGAGGGUGGUGGAAUUUCCUGUGUAGCGGUGAAAUGCGUAGAUAUAGGAAGGAACACCAGUGGCGAAGGCGACCACCUGGACUGAUACUGACACUGAGGUGCGAAAGCGUGGGGAGCAAACAGGAUUAGAUACCCCGGUAGUCCCUGUCUCUUAUAC